rnacentral:rRNA from 1 species
GACGAACGCUGGCGGCGUGCUUAACACAUGCAAGUCGAACGGGAAGACAUGAAGAGCUUGCUCUUUAUGAAAUCCAGUGGCAAACGGGUGAGUAACACGUAAACAACCUGCCUUCAGGAUGGGGACGACAGACGGAAACGACUGCUAAUACCGAAUAUGAUUCUUGAGUCGCAUGACACAAGAAAGAAAGGGUGGCCUCUACAGGUAAGCUAUCGCCUGAAGAGGGGUUUGCGUCCGAUUAGGUAGUUGGUGAGGUAACGGCCCACCAAGCCGACGAUCGGUAGCCGGUCUGAGAGGAUGAACGGCCACAUUGGAACUGAGACACGGUCCAGACUCCUACGGGAGGCAGCAGUGGGGAAUCUUCCGCAAUGGGCGAAAGCCUGACGGAGCAACGCCGCGUGAGUGAAGACGGCCUUCGGGUUGUAAAACUCUGUGAUUCGGGACGAAAGAUAAGCAGACGAAUAAUCUGCAUAAGUGACGGUACCGAAAAAGCAAGCCACGGCUAACUACGUGCCAGCAGCCGCGGUAA